AUUGAACGCUGGCGGCAUGCCUUACACAUGCAAGUCGAACGGCAGCAUGAUCUAGCUUGCUAGAUUGAUGGCGAGUGGCGAACGGGUGAGUAAUACAUCGGAACGUGCCCUGUAGUGGGGGAUAACUAGUCGAAAGAUUAGCUAAUACCGCAUACGACCUGAGGGUGAAAGUGGGGGACCGCAAGGCCUCAUGCUAUAGGAGCGGCCGAUGUCUGAUUAGCUAGUUGGUGAGGUAAAGGCUCACCAAGGCGACGAUCAGUAGCUGGUCUGAGAGGACGAUCAGCCACACUGGGACUGAGACGCGGCCCAGACUCCUACGGGAGGCAGCAGUGGGGGAUUUUGGACAAUGGGCGAAAGCCUGAUCCAGCAAUGCCGCGUGUGUGAAGAAGGCCUUCGGGUUGUAAAGCACUUUUGUCCGGAAAGAAAUGGCUCUGGUUAAUACCUGGGGUCGAUGACGGUACCGGAAGAAUAAGGACCGGCUAACUACGUG
rnacentral:rRNA from 1 species